rnacentral:snRNA from 1 species
AUCGCUUCUCGGCCUUUUGGCUAAGAUCAAGUGUAGUAUCUGUUCUUAUCAGUUUAAUAAAUGAAGAUAAAACUAAAAAGCUCCAAAAAAGAUCCAAAAGAUAACAAUUACAUACUUCUUUUUGUUGAAAUGAUCUUUU